GCCGGGAUGGUGAAAUUGGUAGACACAAGGGACUUAAAAUCCCUCGGAAUUUAUUCUGUGCGAGUUCAAGUCUCGCUCCCGGUA
rnacentral:tRNA from 1 species